CAAAGAUGAAGAGUGACAUUUAUUUGUAUGGAAAAGUCCAUGUUCAGAUUCUGAAGAUUCUCGAAGGGAUUUGGAAGGAGAAGAAAGUCUUACAGACACUGUCAUUUUGGAGACUCAGUACCACAUGGCCACUGCUUCUCUUCUACUUUGGAAGGUGGAGUCGAUGCUGUGUCAGUGACAUACAGAUGACUAAGAUCAUAUUUAAAUGAGUUCCAUUGCUCCAGGAAGCACUGUCAACUAGAGUGCAGCCUACAACCAUUGGGCUGGUGGUCCUGAGUUCUAUGAGAAAGUACACUUAGCAAGUCGUGAGGAACAAGUCUCCAACCAGCGCCCUCAUGGCCUCGGCAUCAGCUCCUCAGCCCUUUUCUACUUGCUCUGAUGAACAGUGAUGUGGAAGUAAUAAACCCUUU